rnacentral:lncRNA from 1 species
CUCAGUUGGUUUAUUAGAAACUAAUCCCGCUUCUGCACUGCAAUUAUGACUUCUUGAAAACCAAAGCAUUUUCAUGUACCUGCACUGCUUGCUAUGGAAGAAUGCAUCAGUUCUGUUUCCAGUCAUGAAGUCACCCAGGACAGGUUUUUUGGCUGAGCUGAACGUUGGUCUCAUUGAAUUGUU